rnacentral:rRNA from 1 species
UACGGGGGGAGCAAGCGUUGUUCGGAUUUACUGGGCGUAAAGGGCGCGUAGGCGGCCAGCACAAGUCAGUUGUGAAAUCUCCGAGCUUAACUCGGAAAGGUCAACUGAUACUGUGCGGCUAGAGUGCAGAAGGGGCAACUGGAAUUCUUGGUGUAGCGGUGAAAUGCGUAGAUAUCAAGAGGAACACCUGCGGCGAAGGCGGGUUGCUGGGCUGACACUGACGCUGAGGCGCGAAAGUGUGGGGAGCGAACAGG